rnacentral:rRNA from 1 species
UACGUAGGGGGCGAGCGUUGUCCGGAUUUAUUGGGCGUAAAGAGCGCGUAGGCGGCCAGGUAGGUCCGACGUGAAAUCUCGAGGCUCAACCUCGAGCGGUCGUUGGAUACCGCCUGGCUAGAGUCCGGAAGAGGAGAGUGGAAUUCCUGGUGUAGCGGUGAAAUGCGCAGAUAUCAGGAAGAACACCUAUGGCGAAAGCAGCUCUCUGGGACGGUACUGACGCUGAGGCGCGAAAGCGUGGGGAGCGAACAGG